rnacentral:rRNA from 1 species
GAUGAACGCUGGCGGCGUGCCUAAUACAUGCAAGUCGAGCGAAGCGGGGACGGGUGAGUAACACGUGGAUAACCUCCUAUAUGACUGGGAUAACCUCGGGAAACCGGAGCCAAUCCGGACACUUAUAGAUGGUUGCGCGCUGCAUUAGCUAGUUGGUAAGGUAACGGCUUACCAAGGCAACGAUGCCUAGCCGACCUGAGAGGAUGAUCAGCCACACUGGAACUGAGACACGGUCCAGACUCCUACGGGAGGCAGCAGUGGGGAAUCUUCCACAAUGGGCGAAAGCCUGACGGAGCAACGCCGCGUGUGUGAUGAAGGUCUUCGGGUCGUAAAACACUUUUAUUAGGGAAGCGGUACCUGAUCAAAAAGCCCCGGCUAACUACGUGCCAGCAGCCGCGGUAAUUC